UACGAAGGGUGCAAGCGUUACUCGGAAUUACUGGGCGUAAAGCGUGCGUAGGUGGUUUGUUAAGUCUGUUGUGAAAGCCCCGGGCUCAACCUGGGAAUGGCAAUGGAUACUGGCAGGCUAGAGUGCGGUAGAGGGUAGUGGAAUUCCCGGUGUAGCGGUGAAAUGCGUAGAGAUCGGGAGGAACACCAGUGGCGAAGGCGGCUACCUGGACCAUUACUGACGCUGAGGCGCGAAAGCGUGGGGAGCAAACAGG
rnacentral:rRNA from 1 species